GGGUAGAUGAGGGAGGAAGGUCCUGACUUACAGGCAGUGCGACUCAGUGAAGACACCGCUCGAUGUGCUGAGCCACCAGGCCUCUAGGGUCUGCUUCUGCUAUCCUGUCAGCCCAGCUUGUCCUAAUGGGCCCACAGCUCUCCAAGGAUGUCUAUCUACUCCUGUCGUGCCUUACCACUGCACUUCAAGUUCUUGAACCCAAUCUUGCUUCUCAACAGCCUUCUAGGGGGACUGGGACGGCCUAGAGCAGCGUGAGGCACUGGAGUGUGUUAGCCUGAUGGCAGAAACGCUGAAUACCGCACUUUCAGAGCCCUCAGUGAUGCUGGAGGAAGCUGAGGCUUCCUUGAGGUCUGGAAGUAUCCAGACAGACUGGUAGGUGGGAGAAGCAGAAAUCUGGGUCUGAGUCUUCUGAUUUGAGAUCUUGUAUUUUUUUUUUUUUUCUGUUUUUCCAUUUGACCUCCUAUGAAAAAAUUCUAAGUUUCAGUACUAGAACCUUUGCAAGUGGAGACCAAGGGGCUGGAAAAGAAAGAGUGAUUCAUUAGACUCGGUUUUAAUUUUGAGUCUGUAACUGACUUCACUGAAAACACAUUCUAGAGAAUUAGUUACUCCUUAAUAUGACAAGUGAAUCAAAUGUGCAGAAUUGUGGAAUAAAGGCUGUUGCUUCUCUGUAGUAA